rnacentral:rRNA from 1 species
GGGCCCGCACAAGCAGCGGAGCAUGUUGCUUAAUUCGAGGCAACGCGAAGAACCUUACCUGGGUUUGACAUGGUAGGAAAAGCCAUAGAGAUAUGGUGUCCUUUUGGGCCUAUCACAGGUGGUGCAUGGCUGUCGUCAGCUCGUGUCGUGAGAUGUUGGGUUAAGUCCCGCAACGAGCGCAACCCUUAUCCUAUGUUGCCAGCGCGUAAUGGCGGGGACUCGUGGGAGACUGCCGGGGUCAACUCGGAGGAAGGUGGGGACGACGUCAAGUCAUCAUGCCCCUUAUGUCCAGGGCUGCAAACAUGCUACAAUGGCUGGUACAAAGGGCUGCGAAACCGCGAGGUCGAGCGAAUCCCAUAAAGCCAGUCUCAGUUCGGAUCGGAGUCUGCAACUCGACUCCGUGAAGCUGGAGUUGCUAGUAAUCCCGGAUCAGCAUCGCCGGGGUGAAUACGUUCCCGGGCCUUGUACACACCGCCCGUCACACCACGAAAGUCGGUAACACCCGAAGCCAGUGGCCUAACCCCUUGGGGAAGGAGCUGUCGAAGGUGGGAUCGGCGAUUGGGGUG